GCCGGCAAAGCGACGAGUUCACCUGGCCCUCAGCAGCGGCAGCGACGAGCUCGCCUAGCGCUCCUACCACGUCGCUGGUGCGACCUCCUUGCUAGAUCCCGGCCAUGGUGAGAUCCCUUCCCAUCCCCCUCACCCCUCCUGCCCCUUCUCGCCUCUUUGCUUUCCGCGGUUUCAUUCCCUUUGGCCUAGGGUUUCUGAUCUGAUAUGUUGUUAUUGCGCACAUGACGAUGGUGAUUUUUGGUGAUGUUGCAGGAGUGUAGCAGCCUCGGCGCAGCGACUGAGUUGCUCCUAAAUGCGCGGAGCAGUACCGCUUGGCCGGCGAAGUGGCCGGUAGCAGGAAGUCCGCCGUCGUAAAUAGUUGUAAAAAAUGGUCAUGUGUUCCUAUUCAAGAUGGAAAUGGGACCCCGAAACCCGCGUCCCCGUGGGUUUUUACCAUAUUAGGGGAUGGGGAUGGGCGACUUUCUAUUCCCACGGGGCUGCUCGUGGGUACAUUAUUAAACCCGGCAUGUUUCAUGGGUUUAAACCCGUUUGAGUACUACCCGAACCUAAAACCCGACAAAACCCGUCAAAAUACAUUAUUUAGCACGC
rnacentral:lncRNA from 1 species